rnacentral:rRNA from 1 species
AUUGAACGCUGGCGGAAUGCUUUACACAUGCAAGUCGAACGGCAGCACGGAUUUCGGUCUGGUGGCGAGUGGCGAACGGGUGAGUAAUACAUCGGAACGUGCCCAGUCGUGGGGGAUAACGUAGCGAAAGCUACGCUAAUACCGCAUACGAUCUAAGGAUGAAAGCGGGGGAUCGCAAGACCUCGCGCGAUUGGAGCGGCCGAUGGCAGAUUAGGUAGUUGGUAGGGUAAAGGCCUACCAAGCCGACGAUCUGUAGCUGGUCUGAGAGGACGACCAGCCACACUGGGACUGGGACACGGCCCAGACUCCUACGGGAGGCAGCAGUGGGGAAUUUUGGACAAUGGACGCAAGUCUGAUCCAGCCAUUCCGCGUGCAGGAUGAAGGCCCUCGGGUUGUAAACUGCUUUUGUACAGAACGAAAAGGCUCUGGUUAAUACCUGGAGCUCAUGACGGUACUGUAAGAACAAGCACCGGCUAACUACGUGCCAGCCGCCGCAGUAACAC